GUCCUGAGUGACCGUUUGUGCGACCAUGACUGGUGAAGGCGACGGCGGAACGAGGAAUCCGGUGUGAAUCCGGUGCGGUCCCGCCACUGUGAUCGGCGAGCGAUUCCCGGACAGGCCACUACCCGCGUGCGGGUGGGAAGGCCGGGGGAAGCAUCGACCCGAGAGCCAGGAGACUCACGCUGUCGCCUCCUCACGCA
rnacentral:ncRNA from 15 species